AUCAGCCAUAUAAUCAGUCAGAAAUUUCUUUUGAGUGUGACCCCAUAGGUUCAAAUCUAAGUCGGUAGUAUGAGAAUAAUCUUUCUAUACCAAUUAAAGUGACCAUCUAGCAAUGAUACCCGACGUGCGGAUAGGUCAAAAGAUUGUAAAGCAUCAUUCAAGAACCUAUUAGCAUAUGGUUACUGUAUAAUUCAUCCCUUUGAUCCAAAUGCUCAAGGUGACCUAAGGUUUAACUGCCAACCCUAAUAUGGUCAUUCACAUUGUAUUUCAAUUUUCAAAAUCUAUCACAUGGAUUAUCCCGGUCAAGGUUUUAUUGAAUUGAAACACACUGAUAUAUUAACUCCUACUUAUUCGGAGGGGUCAAUUACAUCUUGACUCACAUACCGACUUCGCAAGUACUUGACUAUGCCCAAAAAUUUUUCAUCACUGAAUUAAAAAUUCAGGUAGUCCAGCACCA
rnacentral:lncRNA from 1 species